CAGCAGCCGCGGUAAUACGUAGAGUGCAAGCGUUGUCCGGAAUUAUUGGGCGUAAAGGGUACGCAGGCGGAUAGUAAAGUCAAGCGUGAAAGGUGUCGGCUUAACCGACAGACUGCGUUUGAAACUGAUUAUCUUGAGUGUAACAGAGGAGAGUGGAAUUCCUAGUGUAGUGGUGAAAUACGUAGAUAUUAGGAAGAACACCAGUGGCGAAGGCGACUCUCUGGGUUAACACUGACGCUGAGGUACGMAAGCUGGGGGAGCAAACGGGAUUAGAUACCCCGGUAGUCCCAGCCGUAAACGAUGGWUACUAGGUGUUGGAGGUUCGAAUCCUUCAG
rnacentral:rRNA from 1 species